AACUUGGAGUCAUCAUGGGAAAGCCCGAGCAAGUGCCCUGUGGAAAUGAAACAAAUUAAUUAAAUUAUAUGACUAUCCAGUUUACCAGCUGGAGCUCACAAUCAUGUGAGGGAAAAGAACUGUACUCAUUUAUAUUUAUCAGCAAUUGACUUCUUACUGUUUUUCCAAUUCACCUUCAGCAAGAAAAACUUUGUGAAAAUGUUCUGCAACUGUCUAGAAAGGUGCUACAUCUUUUUAAACAGCUAAAAAUAAAAGUAUUUAAGAUGCAACUAAACAAAGGGUAGAAGAAUGAAUGGGAAUAAAGCUGCAGAGAGCUGAAGCCUGAACUUAAUGCUCCAAAUGUUCAACUUCAGCCAAAAGUUGAUUAAUAAGAUAUGCAGGGCUAAAUCAAGAGUGCUUUAACAAUAAGGACAAAGCCACUGCAGAAAAGAAAGCCUGAUGCCCUGAAAGGGACACAUUCUGCAAGAUCUGGCCUUUUCUUUUUUCAGACAAUAGGCUGCUGCAUUGUUAUGCUUGGAGAAUUCCUAUAUACUGUUCCUAAACUCAGACAGCUCUGCAAAGUUGUGGAGGUGUAGUUCAAGGAGCUGCUAGAGGCCUGUGGAGGUUUUGCCUGUUGCUGCUCAUUCAUUCUCUCCCCCUCAAAAACCACUGGCCAAAAUCCAUCUAUUUUAUCUGGAAGAAAUAAAGCAAACGUCUCCCACGUGAUGUGGCAGAAACCCUGGCAACAGAAGCAGCAGGUUUGCUCUGCAGCAAAGCUGCUUUUUGGCUUCCUGUGCACCAAUCCAACCUGAGCCCCCGGGCUGUGCAUCCUCCUGCUGGGUUGAGCUGCAGUUCAAUUUACUUUGGUUGCCUUCCAGACAAAGAAUCUGAGUCUGGAAAAUGCUCUUGGAUCCUUCAGGGGGGAAGCAAGAGCAUUCAGAGCCCCUGGAAGUCACAGUGAGGACACUCUGAGGAUCAAGUCCAUGCUAAAGAUGCUGCAUCUGCUCCCCAUGCACAAAAACCACUCAGAGUGACUCUGCUUCAGCCAGUGGCUCACCUUGACCUUCCAAGUGAAAGAAAAUAACAUUUCAGGCUCAGAGCAUCCCCUCAGACUGAGGAACUGAGCCACUGUACAAUUAAAGCUACACCCUGCCCACAGGACAGGGGGAACUUGGAGAUUUCUGGAUUGCAGGAAGAAAUCUGGUCUCCAAAUAAAAUACAGCAAGGUUUUCCCCAAAGUGCUUAACUAAAGGGUAUCCAUGCCACACUUUUAUUUUUCAUCCUUUUUUGACCUUUGAUUUAAUUUAAGUACUCAAGCAAUUUUAGCAGUGUUUUCUUCUCAGCUUCUCCCACUUCAGGCCACACACACAAAGAUCAUUCUGUGACUUGACACCCCUCCUUUCUAAAAACUUCUGGUGAGGAGGGAAAAAAAAAAGAGGAUGUUAUUUCAAACAGCCUCAAACUAGAGGUUUUAUGUCCAUUAGGGUUCUUAUUUAUUCGUUUCAAUUCAUGCCUUUUUUACAUUGAAAAUUAUAGUUUUUAGAGAUUCCUGUAAAUGCUUAGGUAUGAAAAUGGCCUUUCUCCAAAAUGUGCUUCUAGAUCACUAAAAAUAAUUCACUUUUGCUUAUAUUUUCUCUGUAUGGAAUUCAAGGUAACAAUGUGAACGUUUGCUGCUCAUCCCUAUCUUUACUGAUCUGUGUUCUUUUAUUUUUAAUCUGCCUAAAAAUGUAUUUAUUGCUGAUAAAAUGGCAGGAAAGGCAAUGCUUUCCUCUGCACACACCAGAACCACCAACAAGAGGGCUCCUCACCCAACCCUACCCAUGACC